GAUAGAGAGAGCUCUAGAGAGAGAGAGAGAGAGAGCUUCAAUUGAGGAAGACGAUGAAGUAAAGCAAAGAAGUAAACCUGAUUCUAAUGAAAGAAGAGAAGAAGAACCAGAAAUUGGUUGUCCCUCGCAUCAUCCUCCGCCUCCACCUGAUGAGUUGUUCGACCUUGAUACUACAAUUGAUCCUAGCUAUGUAAUCUCACUGAUAAGAAAACUCCUUCCAGUCGAUUCUGGAAGUGAAGAAUGUGAUCAAAGAACUGAGUUAAGGCAUAUGAAUGCCAACAAUGCGGUUUAAGCUCGGUUUGGAGAUGAGUUUGUGGAUGCUGCUUCUAAGGGUUAUCCAGAGAACAUGGACAUUGGAAGUAACCAUAACGAAUCCACUUCCGAGGAGAAGGACAAGGCAAGUUCAUCAGUGGAAGAGGCAUGGAAAGAGCAUGGAUGCGUUUUGUGGGAUCUUCCCACCAGUGAAACCCACGCUGAUCUUAUGGUAUAUGCUUUAUCGAUCUGCUUAACCCACCAGCAGAGCUUGAGAAGAGGAAGCACAAGCUCAAGCAUCUUGUUCAAUCUCCCAACUCAUUCUUGCUUCCAACCGUGGUACUGUCAUGGAGCUUGGUAUCACUCUAUUGUCACUUAUGGUCUCGUGAUGCAGCUCUUAGCUGGGUCUAAGAUCAUUGAGGUUGAAGAGGUGGGCAGAUACUUCUUCAUCUCGUGAAGAACAUCCUCCUAACAUAGAUAAACGCUCGCUUCAGGAUCUGCUCUUCUUUCUCCAUGUUCCUCGAACUGGAGGCAGGACUUAUUUUCACUGUUUCUUGAGGACGUUGUAUGAUAACGCUGAGGAAUGUCCUCGUUCUUACGACAAGCUCCACUUCGAUCCAAGGAAGCAAAAGUGCAAGUUGUUGGCCACGCAUGAUGAUUAUAGUUUAAUGUCUAAGCUUUCACUGCAAAUCCACCUUUCAAGUCAGUUUCUUUAUUUUCUUUUCAUCGCUCUCUGUCUAUGAAUAUGAAUGUGUUUGAUAUUAACUUGGAUUGUCUACGUUGAUGUUUUCAUAUGUUUGUUCUUUCUUCUUUUUCUCAUGUUCUUCCUUAACAUGUGUUCUUGUUAAUUCUUUUGUAAGAACCUAUAAAUAAGAAAUUCCCAUUGGAACAUAAA